UUCUGCACCACCAAUUGGUUGCUCUCCCAACCCAAAUCUCUUCCAAAUGUCCAUGAUUCCCUGUUUUUACAACUUUAUAACAUAAGAUUUCUUGAGCCGCUUCCUCCCUUCCUACACCCCAACCUUGAAAAUAUUAGCUAUCCCAUAAACCAAAUCUCUAAAUCUGCAACCCUCCCACUGGCCAUCUUCCCACGCCUAAAAAUCUACUUUUUCAGCUAUAGAUUUCGAACAGAAUCCAACCACGGCUCAGUGGCAGCACAUAAUCAUUUCUACUCGAAACUUGAAGAAAUCAGCCGUAAUGACCAGGUAACAGAUAAGGAAAUCCUUGAUGCGGUCACAUCCAUAGGACCACAUAAAGCUCCUGGACCUGAUGGACUACAUGCAGCAUUCUAUCAAAACUGCUGGACUGAGAUUUCCAAAAAAAGAAGGGCCGAAUAGGAGCGUUAGCUGCAAAACUGGAUCUGGAAAAGGCCUAUGACCUUAUCAGCUGGGACUAUUUAUCCAGUUGCCUUAGGAGGUUUGGCUUCCAUAACAAUUGGAUCAACAUGAUCAUGAAUUGUAUUACCUCAGCCUCUUUUUCUUUGCUAAUUAAUGGGAAGCCAACAGGUUGGUUUAAGCCAACAAGAGGCAUCCGACAAGGAGAUCCACUCUCUCCUUAUUUGUUUAUUUUAGCAAUGGAACCCUUAAUCCGACAUUUGAAUCAUCUGGCUACAAGCCAUAAAUCUCAGGUUGGACUACUCUCUUCUCCUCUUGGUUUCAGAAUCUCAAAUUUAAUGUUUGCUGAUGACUGU